CAGAGACCAUUAGCGCCUCAGCGGUGGUGGUGAGAGAUCCCGCCUGGCCAACAAUCAGCUGGACCGAGGUCCUUGUGUCUGUGAGUGUGGUGAGAGGCGGAUUGUGGCCUUCUCCCAAGGGCACUCCAGGCCUUCUGGUCUCAGGCCGCCAGGCAAGCAGUGAUGAACCUCACUCGUACUCCUAUGGAGUGAGUCCUCACGGCUUUGUCCUGAGUAAUGUUCUGAAGGUCAUUCUUUAGGAAGGAGUCAUUAGUGUGGAAACUCUUAAGAAGCUACCGUUACUGUGAUGAGACGGCAACCCUCUAAGGGCUCCAGGGCUCCGUGCCCCGCACCCCUGACAGUGCUGGCUCCUCAUCCAACUCCCACAGCUAUGGAGGAACUGUUUUCAGAGGAAACGUCGGGGCAAGUUUUCACCUUACUAGACUUAACCAAGCCUAGUACUGUCUGAGAGAUAAAAAGCCUGGUUUUCUGACGUUUUGUAACACUUCACACUAUAACCACUAGAUGGCAAUCUUCACACAUUUUCACGUUUUUUUCUUUUUUUCCCCCAGAAGCAGGAAACAGAGAAGCUGAGUUGGACAAAAGGAAUAACAUAAAAUUGUAGGUGCUGGUUAAUAAGGCACACUGCAAAACAGAAAAUUCCAGAAUCUUAUAUUUCUCAAGUUUUCCCCCCAAAGUCUUCAGUUCUAUAACAUAGUGAAAUUGUUUAAUGACUUUGCGGUAACAGACGUGGACUAGGACUGUACCUGGCAAAUGGGAGGUCAGAGGAAUGUCUUUCUCAAGAGCACUUGUUGGGAAAGCAGGUGGAGACCCAAGGAUUGAGUGAAAGAAAAUACAGCAGGCAGAGGGCCUUCACAGAGGAGACCAAGCCCAGCCAAUGAGCUGAACAUGGAUUUCACUGAACUACAUUGUACAUUUAGGUUCUGUGAGGGUGACAUCCUGAAAUUCUGUCCUAGAUUCUUCAAGACAAACCUGCCAGUCAGUGCCCAAGGAUAUGCUCUCCUGUUUAAAUGCACACAGGUGAGCAUCCCUGCAAAGCAGCUUGUUACUGAACAGACCAGAAUAGGCCUUACUUCAGACCACCAUCAUGAGAAAGAAGUGCUCGCUCUGUGUCCUUAACAUUCCCCGGGGCUAGAGGUGGCCCCCCUAACUCUACACCCACAUGGAUGUUAUCGGAAUCUUCCUUUAUUUCCGUCUCCGAAGUUCCAAUUAAGGGUACAUGUCUCUUCCAUUCUCCUCAUUCCUACCUCUUACCCCCUUCAAAUUCAGCUGACCUGGAAAGCCAGCCCAGGGUUGUCUUAAUAACCAUAACUUGAUCCUGACAUCAGCCUCUUAUCCAGUUGCUUCCAGCUCACUACAUCCAGAGUUUUCCAAAUGCCUCUCCCCUGAAUUUGUUCCAUUAAAAAACCAUGGUUGAAAAA